ensembl:processed_transcript F730043M19Rik RIKEN cDNA F730043M19 gene
GCGCGGGGCUCGGGAGAGCGCGGAGUCCGGCAGGCUGAGAGCAGAGCCUGAGUGCGCCGCUGGUUCAGCCGGGCAGGGUCGCCUCGCGCCAGGAUGCUGCGCCCCGCCGCCCUGUCCAGCCAGCAACCCUGGCGCGACCCCGGGAAGAAGCACAGGUUCUUUCGUCCAGUCGCCGCUGGAGGACCGAAAGUUUUGCUCGCUGCAAGUCUCUUCCUCCCAGAGUCCCAGUCACCCACCAUGCGACGUCCCAGAAGGAUCCCGGAGGCUUAGUGGGAACGAAAUCGGCUGUUUUGCACCCCUCCAUCCUUAUCCCUCAGGAUGCCUUCAGGAGUCAGAAGCAAAGGGGAAAUGCACAUAACUCCGAGAAACCGGUUUUGUUUCACAUUUAGAUACAGUUCUUCUGGUGAAGAUAGAAGGCAAAAAAAGUGAAUUUCGCCUGGAGUCCUUGGGAGACUGAGACAGCAGGAUUAGUGAACGUCCAGCCUCAGCAACAGCUUUGCCACCAUGAGCUUCAUUGAUCACACCCUACCACAACUAGGAGACCUAAACCUUGCUCACUGACAGCAUUUGAAGAUGCAAAUACUGCUAUGGAUUGGAAGGUGCCUGAGGAAUGAAAGGGGAAUAUGACCCACCUCGUGAGAUUUUAGGGAAGAAAGACCAUAGUGAUUGCAUCUAUUAAGAAGCCCUUACUGACCUGCAUGGUGAGGCUCGUGUGAAAUUUCAGCAUGCGGGAGAUUGAGACAGAAGGAUCACAAGUUCAAGGCCACCCUAGGCUAUGUAUCAAGAGCUUUUUUUGAACAAAGAAAAAAGAAACGGCAGUACAUAAUUUCUCCUAAGGCUGGAGAUGAGGCUGUCAGCUGAGAGCUCCUGCUUGCCGAAGACCAUGGGCUGGAAUCCCUGUACUGCAUGGACCAGAUGUGGUGGCACAUGAAGGUCAAGGCUAUCCUCAACCACACAUGAGUUCAAGGUCAGCCUGGGAUACAUGCAAUCCUGUCUCAAAACAAAGAACAGUUCUUUCAAGAGGAAAUCUUAACAUUAAGGCUGUGCUGAUCCAAGACUCUUAUUCUCAGGCUCUGCCCAAUAUGAAAGAGAGUCUUCUGGCUGCCUUCAAAUCAAGAUGUAGAACCCUCGACUCUUCUGGGACCAUGUUUGCCUACACACUGCCAUAUUUCCUGCCAUGAUGAUAAUGGAUUGAACCUCUGAAACUGUCCAUGGUAAUUUGUUACAGUAGCCCCAGAGCUCUCCUUGCAGAUGAAGUAGAAGCCUGGGUCUAAAGAGACUUUGGCCUUGCCAACUGGAGAAAGUUUUCUUAGAGGAAGGCGCUGUCAGUGCAAAGUCCCUGUGGUGGAGUCCACGAGCCAGAACACACUCCUCUGAGGAAGGAUGGAAAGCCUCUGUCAGCGGAGGCUGCUUCUGGCUGUUUUUGUCCUGCCUUGGAGCUAACCUGGAAGUAAGCAUGUGAGGCUCUUGAUCAAGUAUGAUCAAGGAGGAUUUUUUUGGAUUCAGCUAAGGUCGUGGUUUGGGCUUUAAACUCUGCUGGCAACGUGGAACAAAACGCAUGGUUGAGAUUGACCAGGGAGGAAACUGUCUUCCUAAGUCAGCAAAGGGACCCACAUUGAGUGUAUUGUUUGUGCAAAGGCCCCAGAGCUCAACAUCAGCAGAAAAUGUGACACGACAAAGCUGUCAGCAAAGGUGACAUGCACCUGCAAUGCUUUCAAGAUCAGGGCACACCUCAAGGGCCUGGCAAGUGUGCUGCUGCCAGAGCUGUGACUGGGUAGCACAGCUUAUGGGGGUCAUAGAAACAGAUAGUUAUUCACUUAUUCAUUCAAUUAAUAAAUGUUUAAUGAACACCUAUCAAGUUCCCAACACCAACUAGACUUUGGGGAAAUAGCAGUGAGUGGGCCAUAGACGGCGAUGACUUCACAGAACUUACUGGAAAAGGACACAGCACGUUUGCUGUGUGAUUAUUAUUUUCCACUAUUAUUAAAGUUUUUCGAUUAUU